AGAGAAAGUCAAGACUGACGGAUCGCCAAGUGAAGGGAUCUGGGGUAGGAGUGUGAGCAGAGCGAAAAGAGCACCCCUCAACCGUCCCGUUUCCAUCUCGAAAUACUUGACUAGAUCUGUAGAAAGCGUGAGAUAUUCCUCGAGAGGAAGCCUCUCCGCUGUCCGACCCAUGCUAUAGCUACGUGAUAAAUAGCGGACCAGACAAAGAACAUGGCGAGAGACGGGAUCACCAUCGGGAUCAAAAACAUCAACAAAUCCUCCGAUGACUAUCAUUAUUGAAACACGAAAAGAGCACGAAAGAGUCGAUGCCGAAGAGUCGCUGAACAAGAAGUCAAUGACUCCGUUGCAACUCGGAGUAGCGGAAAGUUGAUCCGAGCGCAGUACAGCAGGGGUCAUAUAGUUUACCCUUCACUUUUCAUUCUUCACGGUCAAGGCAACUUGGCGUAGCUGAUUGUGCACAGACCCAGGGGACCCCAGCCCACGUCAGCUCCAUCGCAGUUCGUAUUCCAGCUUCUGGUCCGUAGCAUGUAUCGCUAAACUGGCUAGGUAUGCUAACAUCGCCCUUGAGUAUUAUUAAUAACUUUUUUAAAGUAUUGUGUUAUUAGUUUUAAUGUUAAAAUCUUGGAGUCUCAGUUUGAGAAAAUCUCCCCGGAGGUAUAAGUCGAGCAUACGUCAGAGCCAAAGACAGUGAGUGAGUGAGUGAGUUUAGAACUAUAAAGGCCAGCCCACACCAAGAACUAUAACUAUAACGGUGACAAUAAACACACACUUUUAAAAAUGGUUCAAACUCAAGUGAUGAUGAUAUCUUUGGGAUCACUUUCAGAGCAACUUUUUCCAGCCAAUCAAAAUCCGUCCGAAAUUACAGAGCAUCUCGUUCAGAAUGUCAGUAGACCGAGCCGAGAGGCUAUUUACAGAGCUUUAUCGCUCAUCAGUGUGGAUGCUCACAUCGUUGUUGUUAUAGUUUUAGAUCUUGGUGUGGACGGGCCUUAAACGCUGAUACAGGGAAAUGGAAGUACAAGACUGCUUCUGCUUUUUCAAAGCAAGCAACAAAUGUGUGUUAAAAUCCGUUUUAACCAUAUAGGAUUAAAUUAGUUUGGAAAUGUGGCUUGUAUGACGAUGUACAUUUAUGUUCAUGACCGUGCCUUCACCAUUACUGGAGAAGAUGGAUUUCCUGGAGCCAAAUAAAAUGUCAACCUGUGGCAAACCUGUCUGAAAUAUGGUCAGGGCGGCUUUUGUGUAAAAUGGCUGCUUCACCUCUUUCUGCAGCUGAAGAGGAAGAGAAAGAUGAGGCUGGGGGGUACACCAGACCCCCCCCCCCCCCAAGGCCUGUCCCACUGUGAGCUCUAGACCUAUAGAGGUAUAUUUUAAGCACCAGUUCUCAACACUUUGACAUUUAGUUUUAAAUGACGACUGCACUGCAGAGUGGUUAAAAACAGGCCACUUCCUGUGUGAAGGGAAGUUCAUUGUGCCGGCACAGACUCCAGCGUUACUGUACACUGGACCCCCCCUGUAAUCGACCCAUUACCCAGACAGAGCAGCCCGAGACCAGCCUGUUACCCAGAGAGAGCAGCUCCAGACCAGCCCGUUACCCAGAGAGAGCAGCUCCAGACCAGCCCGUUACCCAGAGAGAGCAGCUCCAGACCAGCCCGUUACCCAGAGAGAGCAGCCCCAGACCAGCCCGUUACCCAGAGAGAGCAGCUCCAGACCAGCCCGUUACCCAGAGAGAGCAGCUCCAGACCAGCCCGUUACCCAGAGAGAGCAGCUCCAGACCAGCCCGUUACCCAGAGAGAGCAGCUCCAGACCAGCCCGUUACCCAGAGAGAGCAGCUCCAGACCAGCCCGUUACCCAGAGAGAGCAGCUCCAGACCAGCCCGUUACCCAGAGAGAGCAGCUCCAGACCAGCCCGUUACCCAGAGAGAGCAGCUCCAGACCAGCCCGUUACCCAGAGAGCUGCUCCGCGCUCCAGCCGUCCAGGCUCCAGACCAGCCCGUCUGGGGAGAGAUCGCGACAGACUGACGGAGCCGCUAGCAGGAAGUACCCGUUUAUACUCCCGCUGAGCGAGCGAGGAUCACCCUUCCGAUGGUUGUUUGGUUUCCUCCUGGGGAGGGGCUGCAGCUCAAACGCCCGACUGCAGCACACAGGCCUGAGUCUCUCUGAUGCCGGGCCCCAGGUCUUUGGAGCGAUGCUAAAAUAUCUCCCCCAUGGCCAACGGUGUCCUGCACAAUGCUAACUCUAAUGCUAACAGACAGAGCCGUGCAUGUUCUGCUAAACUAGCGUCAUGGUAACAGUCCACAUUAGACUGAAGUGCUGACGCUCUAAUUUUACUGAAACGCAUGUUCUUCAGAAACACCAGGGGAAGCAGAAACAUUUAUCAGACGCAUACCCAACCAUAGCAGCCAAAGUAUAUCACAAUUUGCAUCAUAUCUAUGCAAGCUGAUUAUUGUUGUUCUUACAUAAGUGUAUAUCAUUCUUUCACGUUGUGUUGUAUAACAACGGUUUCAUAGAUGUAAUCCUUUAUCAGAUUAAUCUACAAGGCCCAAGUCCUUAUCUUUGUUGUAUUCUUAGCACUUGAAACUGUACUUCCCUCUUGGGUCUUUCAGCGUACUUGUCCCUGGUUAUGGGUUAUGCACUUUGCACUUGUACAGCGCUCUGGAUGAGAGCAUCUGCCAAAAGCCCAUAAUGUAAUGUAAUGUAAAAUCUAUUUAACGUAACGAGCCGUAGUUAAAAAGCUACUCUGCAAAGUUUGUCAAGGAAAGAUUGCGUGGUGGAAAAAUGCCAGCCUAUCUGAAUGCUAAUAAGGUGCGAUUAGCACCAGGAAGGUUCUGAGUGCGUCCGUGCCUCUUUCCUCUCCUGCAGAGCUGUUUCUAGGCAGCAGCGGCUGUUUGGCUUGGGCUGCAGGUGUGGUGGAAAGUGUGUGUUGUUGGGGUGAGCGGGAGUGUGGGAGGGGGGAGGGAUGUGUUUGGCUCCCUGGGGGCCAGGUCACACAGAAACCCCCCCCCCCCACGUCACUGUUUCUCAGGAGCGUCUCCAGGCAGUCCUGUGGUGGGGGGAGAGGAGGAGGAGGAGGAGGAGGAGUCGACCGCAGCAGAGGGCAUCCAUGCACACAUAGAGGUCAGUACUCCUAGUCUUAGAGUAGUGGUGGGUUCACUACAACAGGGAGGUGGCAGGAAGAUGGCUGAUAUAGAAACCAGUGAGAUAAUGAGGUAAGAGAAGGAUGAAACUCAUCAAGACCUUGCCACCCUCCCCAACAAACACACACGCAUGCACGCACGCACGCACGCACCCACGCACUCACACGCACACACACACACACAAACAGACACGCACACACACACACAAACAGACACACGCACACACAAACAGACACGUGCACACACGCACACACAGACAUGCACGCAUGCACACACAAACAGACACACGCAUGUACACACAGACAUGCACGCAUGCACACACACGCACACAGGGUCACCUCUGUGAGAAUGGAAGUUCAUAAGCAGGUAAGUCAAAGACUGAAUUGGUGACCAGGGUUUGUAGGGGGAGACUGUCGUCACAUAUUCUGUAGUAAUAAGGCCUGGAAAAAUGUCACAAAAUGUGAUAAUUGUGAGAUGUUUACAAAUCUCUUAACCUAUUAUAUGAGGGAGGGGUUCAGUCUCAUUUUUUGGCCAGCUCAUUUUUUUACAUGAAAAUAAUUUGCAAUAAACAAUAUAAGUUAGUACUUACUGUAUACACAUGACAAUGGCUUACACACAAAGUAUAAAGAAUAUAUGUAAAUAUAAUUACUAUUUAAUA